rnacentral:piRNA from 1 species
UCUGGGAACGAUCCCGACACCAGGAACUUGC